rnacentral:lncRNA from 1 species
CGAACAGAAAAAGAAAAACGGUUUAAAAAAAUAAAAAAUGCAGUUUCUAUUUUUAUUUAAAAAAAUAAAAAAUAAUAUUUUAUGUUUUUUGUAACAGAAAGCGAAAACAAAAAUAUUUUCAAGAAACAGUUUUCUAGAAAAUAAAAACAGACAUAAUUUUUUGUUUUAAAAAACUGGAAUAAAACUCAGUUUGUGUUUUUUUUUAAAAGCUAAAAAGGAUAUUUUUUGCAAUUUUUUGUUUUAAAAAACUGAAACAAAAUGCAGUUUCUAUUUUUGUUUUAAAAAAAUCAGAAAAAGGAUAUUUUCUUUUGUUUUAGAACAGAAACUUUAAAAAAAUUAUUUUAAAAAAAAAAAUUUCGAAAAUAAAAAUAGUUUCUGUUUUUGUUUAAAAAAUUGAAGAAAAAAAAUGUAGUUUCUGUUUUUGUUUCUGUUUUUAAACAGAAAAACUGGAAGAAAAAAAAAGUUUUUUUUCCAAAACAAAACAAAAAUAAUUUUUUGUUUUAGAAAAAAUGAAAAAAAAGUUUCUGUUUUGUGUUUUAAAAAAACUGGAAAAAUGGAUGUUUCUUUUUUUUUUUUUGAACGGAAAUUGAAAAAAAAAAUCUUUCAAAAAAAUAUUUUUUCAAAAAAAACAGAAAUAUAAUUUCUUUUUUCAAAAAAAUAAAAAAAAGAAGCAAUUUAUUUCCAAAAACAUGUAGUCAUGCCUAGAAAAGCAGUGGUGAAAUCAAGGCCAAAUGUGCUUUGGUUCUAUAAGGACAAACUUGAACUUAGCAAGUAAUAUUAGUGCUGUGUUGGGUUGAAAUUUUAGGUUUUGGAUGGAUUUUUAGUUAUGGGUUUGGAUCUUGGAUUUUUGCUGACGUUGGGUAAUUCGGUUCAAUAAUUUGACGGGUUAAUGAUGGAAUUUAGGUAAAUUUUCCAAUGAGAUGAGUGGAUAUGGGGAGAGGAGAAAGUUCAAUUUUGUCUCUCAAAAUUGUUCGAUUUGAAAAUGGAAGGACCAAAAUGGCAGUUGAAGCAAGACUAACAUUAUGUUACCAAAUGCUUUUUCAAUUGAACCUUUCACGUGACUUUGAGCAAUAGAUAUAUUCUGCAAACGAGAACAAGCAAACUGAAUUGAUUACUUUCAUUUUAUCAAUAUUGUAGUUCUUUCUGAAAUAUUUUUUUCUCGAAAAAUUGUGUACCUUUGGACGCUUCUAGGAAGAUUAGUUUUUCAAACGAAUAAUGAUAAACAAUAAUAAAACAACAAAAAAUUGUACAAUUUUUUAUUUUUUAUCAGUCACUCUGGUAGGUCCUAUUUUUAACAGAUAAAAGUUUUAUCAGUUUUGUGACACAUUAGUAUAUGAGGUAAAAUAAAUUAUAAAAUUUUUUAAUUGGGGUAGCAUUUUUCAUUAGAUUUACUAAUAAAUUUGGCGGAUCAUGCAGUCAAAAAAAAACAAUUAAAUAUUCAAAACAUGAUGUAAAAACUUAAAAAGUUUUAGAAGUAUCUCAUGAUGCCAAAUUCUUUCACAGUCCACCCAUUCUCAACUUCACUCCCAACACUUACCCCAUUCUCUCCGCCCUCCCUCAUCUUACGAUCUCUCCCCUUUCUCUCUCUCAUAAAAAUAUGUAUUAAGUGUGAAAUUACAUUAAUUGAAAUAUUCUUCCAAAAAAUUAUAGAGGAUUUGAAAAUAUGAGGACCGUCAUAUUUCAGAAGGUCAAAAAUAAUAUAUGGAUCUAAAGACACAAAAGAAGAAAACAUUAUAUUCCUUAUUCGAAGGGAAGAAAAGGGAAAAUUAACCUUCAUGUUUUUUAAAUGAUUUUUUUUUGGAAUAUUAUUUUAUACUUUAUUUUCAUUUUUUAAUAAUUUUAAAAAGUUUAAAAAAUUACUUGUCAUUGUCCUUUUGACGAACCUUUCUUUUAGAAUUUUAUUAACGAGUAUUCUAAAUUCAUUAAUUAACAUAUUAAUUAAAAAAAGUGGCAAAAAACAGGUUUUGUUGAGGGGAAAAAAUUUGCAAAAACUGUACCAAAAACAGAAAAAACUGUUGUUUCAAAAAUUGAACGCAAACUGCUUUUUUGAGAAAAAAAACUAGAAAAAAACUGUUUUCUAUUUAUGUUUUCGAACAGAAAAAGAAAAACGGUUUAAAAAAAUAAAAAAUGCAGUUUCUAUUUUUAUUUAAAAAAAUAAAAAAUAAUAUUUUAUGUUUUUGUACAAGAAAGCGAAAACAAAAAAAUUUUUUCAGAAAACAGUUUUCUAGAAAAUUAAAACAGACAUAAGUUUUUUGUUUUAAAAAAACGGGACUAAAACCAGUUUGUGUUUUUUUUUAAAAGCUAAAAAGGAUAUUUUUUGCCAAUUUUUUGUUGUAAAAAACGAAACAAAAUGCAGUUCUAUUUUUGUUUUAAAAAAAAUUCAGAAAAAGGAAUUCUCUUUGUUUUAGAACAGAAACUUUAAAAAAAUUAUUUUAAACAAAAAAAUUUCGAAAAUAAAAAUAGUUUCUGUUUUUUGUUUUUAAAAAUGAAGAAAAAAAUGUAGUUUCGUUUUUGUUUCUGUUUUUAACCAGAAAAAUGGAAGAAAAAAAAAUUUUUUUUCCAAAACAAAACAAAAAUAAUUUUUUGUUUUAGAAAAAAUGAAAAAAAAGUUUCUGUUUUUUGUUUUAAAAAACUGGAAAAUGAUGUUUUCUUUUUUUGUUUUUGAACGAAAAUUGAAAAAAAAAUUAUUUUCAAAAUUUUUUUUCUUCAAAAAAAAAACAGAAAUAAUUUCUUUUUUCAAAAAAUAAAAAAAAGAAGCAAUUUAUUUCCAAAACAUGUAGAUCAUGCCUAGAACAUUGUGAAAUCAAGGCAAAUGUGCUUUUAGUUUCUAUAGGACAAACUGAACUUAGCAAGUAAUAUUAGUGUUGUGUUUGGGUCCGAAAUUUUAGGUUUUGGAUUUGGAUUUUUAGUUACGGGUUUGGAUCUUGGAUUUUCGCUAACGUGGCCAAUUCGGUCAAUAAUUUGAAUGGAGUUAAGGGGAUUGGUUCGAAUUGAUAAAAACACUCAAAAGUUAAUGGUUAAAUUGAUAAAUCUUAUAGAGUAAGGAUCAAAAUAGAAAUUGGUUAAUACUUUAAGGGGGCUAAGUGUAGUUUACCCCCAAAUUGUAAAAAUCUUGCUAAGCAUGCAACAAAUCUUGUUGGUUGGGAUUUCGACGAUUAUACAUAUCCUCUAUGUAUAUAUACAGAUUACAAAGAGAAUUAAGAGAGAGAGAGUCAAUUAUCAUUUGAAUUCAACAACUGUUAGUUGGAAUUUCAAACGAGUUUGACCAAAAUCAAGAAAAUUAUUAAAGACAAAUAAUAAAAUAAUUGCUUUCACAAUCAAGACUCAAAUAAAUUAGAUUCAAUUAUUUAUAAUAAAAAUAAGAAACCAUUUAUGGUAUUUUUUUUCUUAAAAAAAAUAAUUUUUCUUGGGAGGUGUAUUUAUUCUCUUAUUGGGAUAAGUUAUGAAGUUUUGUUUGUAAUCAUUUACCUAAAAAAAUUAGAAAUCAAUUUUUUUUUUCUUAUCCCAAACGUCCUAAUUAGGUUUUUUGUUCCCAAGGUUAAGGCUUGGCUCAAAUCCCCAUAAAAUAAAAUAAAACUAUUAUUUUUCUUUUCUAAGUUUGGUUCAAGUGAAAAACUUAUUUUUCUUUUCAUUUUCUUUUCUUUUUUUUACAAUUUUCCCCUCGUUAUAAUUCUUUUAUUUUCUCUUUGUUGUAUUCAUUUUUCCUAAUUUUCUUAACGAAUCUCUUUUUUUUUAAAUUCAAAUAAAAUAAUGUGUACAGUGUGAUAUUUUUUUUAUAAUUAAACGUCAUUUUAAACGUGUUUUUAUGAAAAAUUAAAAUUACAAACUCAUAUUUUGACACACAUAAAUUUGUAAAAAAAAUUAAAUAUACAAAAUAUCAUCCUUACUCUCUCUUUUCAAAUCAUGCCCAAGUAAGAGAAAUAAUUUAUUUUAUUUUAAAUCUAUCCAAUAUUAUUUUUUUUUCCUUUCCUUAUUUUUUUUUAACUUUCUCUCCUGACAACUAAUUCCAACCCAAAUACAGCGGUAAUAUUAAAACUUAAACUUAAACUUGGUGCCCAAUCUGCGGUUACAAACCUUGUGGCCCAAGCUGGAUCUAGGGCAAUAAUAAUAACCCAGGCUCCUCGCUCGCUCGCGCUUUCCCUCCGUCUCCCUCUUGCUCUCUUACUCGGACGCGGACUAGAGGAACGGCGAGAGGGAAAUCAACGAUGGAAGUAGUCCAAAGCUAGACAGAGAGGACUACGGGAAAGAUCGUGGUCCUUGAACAGAAUAAGACGCAACUUUUUGGAAGAUCGUUCCAAGCACAAUCUUCUGUGAGAUUUCUAUUUUUCCAACAAUGGCCUCACUUUACAUUCUAUAUUUGUAAUGAUUUGGAUGUUUUUGUUCUUCCUAGGUUUGAUAUAAAGAGAAGAAGAAAAAGCCAGAGAGAGACAUCAACAGAAUCAUUCCAGAAGCGAAAAAAAAAAUCCUUCUCGUAAGGAUUUAGUCGUUUUAUUGUGUGAUUAUUGUUGUGUUGUUAUUAAUGUUUAUUGGUUUUGAUCUUUUGUGACUGAUCGGUGUUUUCCAAUUGGAAUUUUAAUAUAGUCCUUUGAUUAGUUUUGGUUGAUUUGAAAUGUUUUUCAAUUUUUGAAGAAGGUAUUCCUAAAACAGAGUAAAAUGGUUGUGUGUUUGUCUUAAUAUGAAAUCAUCUAAAAAAUUUUUAGGUUGUCUUAUAUGAAUUUAGGAGUGGUGUCUGUAUUUGGUGUGGUUUUCCGUUUCGUUUUUGAUUUUGUUGUUCCUUUGGUUUCGCCGCAGCGCAAUGAGACACCAUUCCUGCUGCGGGUAAUGCGAUGCCUACUCACAUUCUAAAUUAACUGUCCAACUUGCGUUUUUUUUUUGACAACUGUUAACUGGGGUUUGGGCGGAUGAUUUUUUCCUACGAACUGAGGUCUUGGAAUAUUGGUUGUAAAGCCUAAUAAUUAUGGGAAGAUAACUACUACUUCAUACAAUCCUGUGGUCAUUCCAGCAAUUUGUUUUUUUAAAAAUCUUUUCCUUAUACUUCUUCAUUGAAAUGGCUAGUAUAAGAAUGUAGCACGCAUUAGUUGGUUGGUAUCGAAAUUGGUGAUGUCUUUGAUCACUUCUCUAUUUAACCUAUCUGUUUUGUUCAUUCAUCUUAUUCUAACGUAAUUUUGAAACUUGAAAUUUUGGUUAUAUCUACUUUAAAACAUAUGAUUUUUUACUUUACUUGACAUUGGUAAAUGGUGUCUUGAUCUUUUACUUCUUUGGAGGGAAAUGGUUCCAGCUAGAAUUAGAAUAUAGGCUUUUUGGAUGAGUUGUGGAGAGGUUAUGUGUGCGAGGUGGUGGUUUUUGAAAGCUAUUACAAAUGGGUUCAGUGGAUCCCAUCUCUAUUACCUGGGAUAAAAUAGUCUGGAAGGGUGAUGUUGUGGCAGGAUGAAUUGGUCAAGUUGAGACUAUUAGUGGCAGUUCGUUCGGUUGGGUUCACUCAAUUAUAAUUUCUUUCCUCCGUGUCCUAUUGUGCCUGACUGAGUAUCAACAUUUUGUUGAGGAAUUGAGGAAGGCACACAAUGUUGCAGAUUUUUUCAGUUUGACGUCUAUUGACGGAUACUUGUGUUCGGAGAAGGAAAACAGUUACAAUGGGAUGCUGCUUUCUUGUUGAACAUCCUAUCCUCAUAGCAGAAGGGCAGGUUAAUCAAGAAAGAAGGAAAAACACACAAAAUUUUAUCCGUUCUUAUGUUGGGUCUUUGUUUCUAUUUGGUUAUCGAUUUUUAAGGGGGUUAGGUGAGUGGAUUUAAAGUUUUAUUUCUACAAUGUGCAGAACUCUUCAUGACUCCUGGUCCCUCACUGACUUUCUUUUUCCUGAGAUUUAGCUCAGCUGAAACGUUUAAAUGAAUGGGUUUCAAAUAUCCUUGUGAAAGACCAUCAGGAGGUUGUUCCUCAACUUCAACAGGUAAGCUUGUAACCCCUUAAAUUUUUUAGUGCAAUUUGAUGUUCAUUUGAUAACAUUCCUUCCUGUUUUUAUACAUUAUCAGGUCCUCCUCCCAUUCCUUUCUUGUCCGAAGAUUGAAGUCAUUUGUUGGAAGGUCUUGCCUCCCAAGAAGGAACACUACUCAAAGUUGGGUAUGUCUCAAAUGCAGACAGAUAUUAUAGGGCUUUUAUUGGCAGAAAGACCCUUUGAGGUUGUAAAUGCUGGUGGUGAGCGGCAGCGUCUUCUGAACUAUCGAUGCAGCUACGAAAAUGUUGUAUCAGCAUAUCUUCCAAGGUGCUGAAACUGCCCUCCUUACACACAGGAGACCAUCUUAUUUCAAAUGCCUGGUGAGCUUUAUCUACAACUUGUUUCUUCUUGAUUGGAGUUUCAAAGGAUUGUUGCGCUUUAUCAUAACUCAUUGUGUUGCAGGUAAAAUGGUUUAUUUUGGAUAAGUUGCUCCUGAAACUAAGGAUCGGAUUCAAGGGUCCUAAACAUUUUUCGCAGGGUUAUAUUUUUUACCUUUUCAAGACCAACUUUUUCAUGCAUUGUCGCACUGGUUAUUUGGUUUUUUUUUUGGGGGCUGGGUCAUUGCCAUGCAUACAUUCUUGCUCUUUUCUAAUGAUGUGCUAUUUUUUGGAUGAGUAUUUGUUUUUGUAUUUGGUAUUCAUGUUAAGGAGAUGGAUCCAACUGUUAUAUAAUCCAUAUGACAAGACUCCUGGACAUUCUGGAAGCUUAUUUUGAUGUUAUGUGUGACCAGUAAUUGCCGAUUGAUGGAAUACCUGGUGGAGAUGAUCGUGAAUGCUUCAAUGAUGUCUUCAAUAGGCCCGGGAGUGAGAAAUUUGCUUAUUAUUAUCCACUAGAGCUGGAGGCCUCGGAAUCAAUCUUGCUACUGCAGAUGUUUUGUCAGUCUCUAUGACAGCGACUGGGAGGAAUUUUCUUUCUUUUCAUCUGGUUGUGCUUGGCAUUGCUAGGUUGCAAUACAUAUCUAAUCUGACGUAUCUCAUCACAUUUUAUGUUAGGAAUCCCACAAUUGAUUUUGCAGGCUCAACGUGCUCACAGGAUUGGGCAAACGAAAGAAGUUCAAAGUGUUCCAUUUUUGGUACCGAGGUUUGCUUGAUAGUGCGUACUUUGUUAUGGGUAGUUCUGUCUGCAAUUUUUGUUAUCUAUUAACAUAAUUUUUUUCAACAAAUCUUUAAUUUUGAAUAGUAUACAAGUCGAGGAAAGGUGAUUGAAGGGCUUUUAAAAAGCUUGCCUCUUGUGCUUUGGUGAUCCAACAAGGGCGAUUAGCAGAGCAAAAAAGUAACUGGUUCCGCUGGAAGUUACGUUAUUAUUAAAUUAAUCGAGUAAAGGUAGUUUUUAUUAUUGAUUAGUCCUUUUUUUGCCGCUCUGUUAACAAAGAAUGACUGCUGCCAAUGGUGAGGUUUUGGUGCUGAACUGGUUUUUCACUUCCAAGGAUAGCACAACUAACGGAUGAGGAUAUAGAUCGGAAUCAUUGCUAAAGGAGAAGAGGCAACGGCCGAACUUGAUUCUAAAUUAGA